rnacentral:tRNA from 1 species
GGGGAUGUAGCCAAGUGGUAAGGCCGGGGCCUGCAAAGCCUUCACCGAGGGUUCGAUUCCCUCCAUCCCCU